CUUACCAAAUACUAGUUGGCCAUAUAUGUAGGGGUUUAAUUCUGGGUUCUCUCUCCUGUUCCAUUGGUCUAUGUGUCUAUUUUUAUACCAGUACCAUACUGUUUUAAUUAGUAAAGCU